rnacentral:tRNA from 1 species
UCCUAGGUGGUGCAAAGAGUUAACACGCUGGGCUGCUAACCAAAAAGUUGGUGGUUCGAAUCCACCCAGGGGCA